rnacentral:lncRNA from 1 species
GUAACAUCAGCUGGGAAUGCAUACAAUGUGGUAUGCCAAACUGUUCAACUAAUCUGUUCAACCACUCGACCAUUUAAAUAUCAAAUCUUCAUGACAUAUUGAAUGAUAAGUCGGUAUUGGGGAGCCCAGUUGCUCCAAAAGGCACAUCCUCACCAAUACCUUAAAAAUGUAAAAAAAAAAUAAAAAAAAUAGAGCGCACUACAAAUAAAAACAGAAA